rnacentral:rRNA from 1 species
CCUACGGGAGGCAGCAGUGAGGAAUAUUGGUCAAUGGACGAGAGUCUGAACCAGCCAAGUAGCGUGAAGGAUGACUGCCCUAUGGGUUGUAAACUUCUUUUAUAUGGGAAUAAAAUGUUCCACGUGUGGGCUUUUGUAUGUACCAUAUGAAUAAGGAUCGGCUAACUCCGUGCCAGCAGCCGCGGUAAUACGGAGGAUCCGAGCGUUAUCCGGAUUUAUUGGGUUUAAAGGGAGCGUAGGUGGAUUGUUAAGUCAGUUGUGAAAGUUUGCGGCUCAACCGUAAAAUUGCAGUUGAAACUGGCAGUCUUGAGUACAGUAGAGGUGGGCGGAAUUCGUGGUGUAGCGGUGAAAUGCGUAGAUAUCACGAAGAACUCCGAUUGCGAAGGCAGCUCACUGGACUGCAACUGACACUGAGGCUCGAAAGUGUGGGUAUCAAACAGGAUUAGAUACCCUUGUAGUC